rnacentral:lncRNA from 9 species
UGCUUGCUGAAGACAAAGGGUAUAUGGGUGGGUGACUGAAGGCAAUAGUUACAAAUAGCACUUAUGACCGUGUGGUGGCUGGCAGAAUGACGGCUGUACUAAUGAUCUUUUCUUUUUUCUUUCGAUGGGAAUGAGGCGGUAUACCCAGAUGUGGGUGUAGAUCCAGACGUCUCUGUCUGUCAAUUAGCUUUCCACCUUUGCUGGAGACGAAGUGGAGAUGCACCUGCUUUGGGGAGGUGGCUGGCGAGAAAGAGAGCGAAUGUGGGCCCCGCCCCGUGAGGCAAAGCUCACUUCCUGAUGGAGGAUGGGGCUGUGUGGCCUGAUUCUCUGUGGAGCUCCUGAGUCGAUGCCUCCCACCCAAAAAAUCACAGGUUAAAAGGUAAGAAAGAGGAUAACGGAAGUAGCCCGUGUGUAUCUAUUAAAAUAAUUAGCGCUGUUGCCCAAACUCAGCAUUUGCCCACGGGUGCCAAAUAGAAACAAG